GCUGGUUCUCUCCGAAAUAGCUUUAGGGCUAGCCUCAAGUGAUGAUUAUUGGAGGUAGAGCACUGUUUGGACGAGGGGCCCGUCUCGGGUUACCGAAUUCAGACAAACUCCGAAUGCCAAUUAAUUUAACUUGGGAGUCAGAACAUGGGUGAUAAGGUCCGUGUUCGAAAGGGAAACAGCCCAGACCACCAGCUAAGGUCCCA
rnacentral:rRNA from 1 species